rnacentral:rRNA from 1 species
CACGGGGGGAGCAAGCGUUGUUCGGAAUCACUGGGCGUAAAGGGCAUGUAGGCGGUCAGGUAAGUGAGAUGUGAAAUGCCCCGGCUCACCCGGGGACCGGCAUCUCAUACUGCUUGGCUUGAGUACGGGAGAGGAUGUGGGAAUUCCUGGUGUAGCGGUGAAAUGCGUAGAUAUCAGGAGGAACACCGGUGGCGAAGGCGCACAUCUGGCCCGAUACUGACGCUGAGGCGCGAAAGCGUGGGGAGCAAACAGG